UUCCUUAUAAAUUAAUAUAAUAUAUAGCAUUUUUAAUAAUUUAUGAAAAUUGUUGUUCGGACUUGAUCUGAGUCUGGACUGGACAAAAAAAACCGUAAAACUGAUCUGAGUCAAUCUCUCACUCACUCUCACAAUCUCUCUCUGUCUCUCUCUGUCUCUCACGACUCACAGUCUCUCGCUCAAAUUUGGGGAAAAAUCCCUAGCCGCCGAUGCCCGCUGCUUCGUGCCUCCGUCUCUCCUCACACGUCCGCCCUCUGCCAUCUCCAUCUGAGUUAAUCUCUGCCGGACUGCCCCCUUCUUGUCGCGCCGCAUCUCCAAGACUCCAGAUGACGGUGAGGUUGUUUCUACUCCAACAUGUUCAAAGAAUGGAAGCACUCAAGUAAAUGAUGCAGAAUCUUCUAAAAGAUCCAACGAUACAUAUGACGAUAUAAUGGAUUUGUAUUUGGAUUUGGAUUCGGAUGAGGAUGAAGAGGAAUAGGAGGUUUAUGAGAAAUUAGAAAUGAACUUCACUAUUUAAAGUUAACUUUUUAAUUAUGCUUUGGACUUCUUAAUUUCUUAUGCUAAUUUAGAUGUUUUUUACACUUGUGUUGUGGACUUUAUAUGUAGACUUUGAACAUUAGUAUUGUUUGUUGUAACUUUCUAGUUUCUAGUUUGUACUUUGGAUUUCGGA